AUGCCUAGUAACGGCGAGUGAAGCGGCAACAGCUCAAAUUUGAAAUCUGGCGUCUUCGGCGUCCGAGUUGUAAUUUGCAGAGGGCGCUUUGGCAUUGGCAGCGGUCCAAGUUCCUUGGAACAGGACGUCACAGAGGGUGAGAAUCCCGUACGUGGUCGCUAGCCUUUACCGUGUAAAGCCCCUUCGACGAGUCGAGUUGUUUGGGAAUGCAGCUCUAAAUGGGAGGUAAAUUUCUUCUAAAGCUAAAUACUGGCCAGAGACCGAUAGCGCACAAGUAGAGUGAUCGAAAGAUGAAAAGCACUUUGGAAAGAGAGUUAAAAAGCACGUGAAAUUGUUGAAAGGGAAGCGCUUGCAGCCAGACUUGCCUGUAGUUGCUCAUCCGGGUUUCUACCCGGUGCACUCUUCUAUGGGCAGGCCAGCAUCAGUUUGGGCGGUUGGAUAAAGGUCUCUGUCAUGUACCUCUCUUCGGGGAGAACUUAUAGGGGAGACGUCAUGCAACCAGCCUGGACUGAGGUCCGCGCAUCUGCUAGGAUGCUGGCGUAAUGGCUGUAAGCGGCCCGUCUUGAAACACGGACCAAGGAGUCUAACAUCUAUGCGAGUGUUUGGGUGUCAAGCCCGAGCGCGUAAUGAAAGUGAACGGAGGUGGGAACCUUUCGGGGUGCACCAUCGACCGAUCCUGAUGUCUUCGGAUGGAUUUGAGUAAGAGCAUAGCUGUUGGGACCCGAAAGAUGGUGAACUAUGCUUGAAUAGGGUGAAGCCAGAGGAAACUCUGGUGGAGGCUCGCAGCGGUUCUGACGUGCAAAUCGAUCGUCAAAUUUGGGCAUAGGGGCGAAAGACUAAUCGAACUAUCUAGUAGCUGGGUUCCUGCGUAGU
rnacentral:rRNA from 1 species